GCCACCCUAGCUCAACUGGUAGAGCAUCCGACUUGUAAUCGGAAGGUUGUCGGUUCGAUUCCGAUGGGUGGCUCCA
rnacentral:tRNA from 1 species